AUGGAGAGUUUGAUCCUGGCUCAGGAUGAAUGCUGGCGGCGUGCCUAACACAUGCAAGUCGAGCGGCAGCGAGGGGUGCUUGCACCCUGUCGGCGAGCGGCGGACGGCUGAGUAACGCGUGGGAAUCUACCCUAAAGUGAGGGAUAACCGCCCGAAAGGGUGGCUAAUACCGCAUAUGAUCUUCGGAUUAAAGGAUUUAUCCGCUUUAGGAAGAGCCCGCGUUAGAUUAGGUAGUUGGUAGGGUAAUGGCCUACCAAGCCAACGAUCUAUAGCUGGUCUGAGAGGAUGAUCAGCCAGACUGGAACUGAGACACGGUCCAGACUCCUACGGGAGGCAGCAGUGAGGAAUCUUCCAC
rnacentral:rRNA from 1 species